AACAGCGUGUCCGAGUGGUUUAGGAGGUGGACUUGAAAUCCACCAGGCUCCGCCUGCGCAGGUUCGAAUCCUGCCGUUGUCG
rnacentral:tRNA from 1 species